rnacentral:lncRNA from 1 species
GGUGCUAGUGUCCGGAUGAUGAUUGGGAAUUGCUGAGUGGUGUGCAGUCAUUGGUGGAGAAUUUAAAAAAAAUGAAAGGCAAACCCUUAGAACUCUUCAGUAUCUGCCACAAGUUUAGGCUUUCUAGUUCACUUCAAAAUUGAUAGAAAAAGGGAAGCACAAUGCUGGACGAAUGCAGCCUUUGAGGACCUCUUGACAUGACAUGAAUGUGGAAGAGAAUUAUUUCCGGAGCACUGUGACAUGAAAGAGCAUGCAUUUACAGAGGGCUGCAGAGUGCCUCUGACAGAACAUAGCCGAAGGCGAUGGGAUCUGGAGAAAGAUGCCUCAUAAAUUCCACCCCAUCUCAUGACCCAGCCAGCAGAGGCAACAAUUCUACCGUACACUGGGAAAAUCACUUUGAGGAAUGUGGGCUACUGACAUCAAGACCGAUGGGGCUGCUGUCCAUGAUUGCUUGUAGCACAAAAGUGUCCACCAAGGUGGUUGGAGGUAUUGCUUUCUGGAGAGAGUGUGGAGAUUAUGAGGGACUCUAGAUAUCUUGUGAGGAUCCACAGAAGAAUUUUGUCUUCAAAGGUUUUAUGAACCUGUGUUUUUCUCAGUUGCAGCAGCUCUUCAGAAGAUGCUUUGGCUUCAAACACAGUUUGUAUAAUUUCCCACAAAAUAGAACAUCUCGUUUCUGCAAGGCUCUGCUCAAAGUACAGGCAGGUUCUUUGAUGGAGAAACUUUUUCAGAGGUUUGCUUUAUUGUGAAAACUAUCGACAAGUAUUGGCUACAGAGAAUUUAUUAUAUCUGCCUUUAGUUCAGCUGUGAUCAUUGAAAAGUGGAAAAUUCCAGUGUAACUGCGAGAUGUUCAGAAGCUGUCAAAUCAUUAGGCUUUACAAGAGUGGCAGAUUUUAGCAGACUGUAGAGAUUUCCACUUGCUUCCAUCAUUUCAUGUACAUAAAAUUAGUCAUCCUUUGCUUCCCCUAGUUCUGCCUUACACAAUAGAUACAGAGGAAUCCGCUGGGAUAGCCAUAGAGUUCCAAACCAUUGAACUAUAUUUAUUUAGAUUACAAAAACAAAAGCAGCAAACCUGACUGAUGAACAUCACAGACUGAAGAAACAAUGCCUUUAGAAACAUGCAAAUAGAUUUCCUUUAAUUCUGGAAGGAGGUCUUUGAAAUAAACAGCGUGGUAAAUUAUUUAGCCUCUAUUUU